rnacentral:snRNA from 1 species
GUGCUUGCUUCGUCAGUACAUGUACUAAAAUUGGAAUGCUACAGAGAAGAUUAGCAUGGCCCCUUUGCAAGGAUGACACACAAAUUUGUGAAGCGUUUCAUAUUUUU